AGUGGGGGAUAGCUCGGCGAAAGCCGGAUUAAUACCGCAUAUGCCCUGAGGGGGAAAGGAGGGGAUCCGCAAGGACCUUUCGCUUUCGGAGUGGCCGAUAUCGGAUUAGCUAGUUGGUGGGGUAAAGGCUUACCAAGGCGACGAUCCGUAGCUGGUCUGAGAGGACGACCAGCCACACUGGAACUGAGACACGGUCCAGACUCCUACGGGAGGCAGCAGUGGGGAAUUUUGGACAAUGGGGGCAACCCUGAUCCAGCCAUGCCGCGUGAGUGAAGAAGGCCUUCGGGUUGUAAAGCUCUUUCAGACGGAAAGAAACGGUUACAGCUAAUACCUGUGACUAAUGACGGUACCGUCAGAAGAAGCACCGGCUAACUACGUGCCAGCAGCCGCGGUAAUACGUAGGGUGCGAGCGUUAAUCGGAAUUACUGGGCGUAAAGCGUGCGCAGGCGGUUUUGUAAGACAGACGUGAAAUCCCCGGGCUUAACCUGGGAACUGCGUUUGUGACUGCAAGACUAGAGUGCGGCAGAGGGGGGUAGAAUUCCA
rnacentral:rRNA from 1 species